AAAUCUAGUAGCUAUUAUUGAAUAGGGUACAGGAUUCAAAUGAAACAGAUGUAUUGAUUUGGUUGGUUUAGCAUGAAGCUCAAGUUGGUUGGAGGUGACUCUACUGGCGUUGUGACAGCUUACUAUAAAGAGUGAUCCCAGGAAUUGAGCUGGUGCGGUUAGCGUCAUGGUGUUUGCAGUAUGAACCUCAUGAGAGGCCAAAUGCCAAGUCUCUUGUGACUGCCCUUGUUCUUCUUCAAAAGGAAACUUCGUUGAAGCGAAAAGAUAUUAUAUCAGCUUUUGUUUCAUGUAUAGGUAGCUAGGAAUGAUUUCUUGUUUGGUACAUUAUCUAUCUUGAAUGUAUGGAUGUUUGAAAAAUGGUGAUUGAAUGAUAUGGAUUAGAGUACUGUUUAUGUUUUAA